rnacentral:lncRNA from 1 species
UGAUGGUGGUGAAUUACUGGAUGCUUACUAUUGGUCGAAUAUGUUGACAACAGAAAAUUUCCGUAGACUAACUAUACAAUAUGAUACACACACACACACACACACACUCACACUCACACUCACACUAAUCUACUAUUGGUAGCACAUCUGUUUAGGUUAUAGACGUGGUGGGUUCAAGUUGUGACAUCCUCACCGAUUACUGCUCGAAGGAACAGUAAAGAGGAAUCAAUUGAGAUUGAUUCAAACUUGUUAGAAACUUUCAUUUUUAUUAAACCGUAUAGUGUGUGCAUAGAAAAGGCACGAUGCUUCAAUUAUUCCUUUAACACAUGAGAAGUUCUUGCUAAGUUGAAAGCAUGCUUAAGCUGAUGUGAAUAAAGGGCCUCAUUCACUUGCAAAUGGUUUCAUAAUCAUUACCAAACUUAUAGUGCACAUUCAACCCAUUGAGAAGAACAAAUAUAAUAUGGAAAACAUCUAAUUAGCAUUCAGGAUAGUUGUUGCAAAAAUUGGAAUUAGGAGUCAGUUUACAGACAUUGACCAUAUGCUUAUUGUAUGACUCAUUUCUUUUCAUGUCAUGUGACAUGGUUGUUAUAUGUAAGCAAGAAAUCAUAUAAAUUUUUUCCCAAACUCUGACAUAACGGCGAGUUGUAUCUUUUGUGUGAUUAAGUAAUUUGGGAUCGAUGUUUUCAGUUUCAUUUGGGAGUCUUCAACUGAGCUUCAUGCAUGAAUUUGAUAAUCAAGUCCAAUUCGACCAAGCAUUAGAGAUAAAAUGUGUUGCAGGUUCCCCCUGAAUUUGACAUUUGUUCCAAGGCGUUUUGUUCUUGGGUGGAAGAAACUGAUGAUUGAUUAGUGGGAAGUAUUUCUCUGAUGCUGCUGUGUAACUGGAGGGACUGCUGUAACCUUUAGCCGUGUUUAUGACAGGGGAGUCUUAAUUGUUUUAGUUAUUUAAGCCGUUAAAAAGUAUUUUGCAUUGUUCUCUAGUUGGAGACUUAUGUUUCUUUUGUUAUAUAUAUGGAAAUGAAUCUUCCGAUGUUAUUAUCCGAAAUUGUUCUUGCCUUGCUUCUAAUUUUUUUUAGAAGUUAUGGUGCAUACUCUAAUGUCUUUCCUUUAGAUUCUUUUGAUUCAAUAUUAUUAAUGAUUUUAGGCAACAUUGGAAAAGGGAGCGAUGACACCUUCAUAUUGAAAUUUUAACUCUUACCUUAGGUC